rnacentral:rRNA from 1 species
GUGAGGAAUAUUGCGCAAUGGAGGCAACUCUGACGCAGCCAUGCCGCGUGCAGGAAGAAGGCGCUACGCGUUGUAAACUGCUUUUAACCGGGAAGAAACCCCAGGACGUGUCCUGGGUUGACGGUACCGGAGGAAUAAGCACCGGCUAACUUCGUGCCAGCAGCCGCGGUAAUACGAAGGGUGCAAGCGUUAUCCGGAUUCACUGGGUUUAAAGUGUGCGUAGGCGGAGCGUUAAGUCAGUGGUGAAAUCCUGCAGCUUAACUGUAGACUUGCCAUUGAUACUGGCGCUCUUGAGUGCGCUUGAAGUGGGCGGAAUGUGCCGUGUAGCGGUGAAAUGCUUAGAUAUGGCACAGAACACCAAUUGCGAAGGCAGCUCACUAAGGCGAUACUGACGCUGAGGCACGAAAGCGUGGGGAUCGAACAGGAUUAGAUACCCCUGUAGUCC